GAGGCAGGGCGAGCGCGGGGCUGCCCGGCGGCGGCGCAGCGAGCGGGGAGCCCCCGCCCGGCCCGACCCGGCCCGGCCCCCUUCUUCCCCUCAGCCGCCAACAACUUGGCGGCCCCGAGCCUCAGCGAGCGGCUGCGCCCUCCUCGUCCUCCGUCCUUCCUCCCCGCGGGGGUCCCCGGGCAGGGCGAGGGGCCGCGGCGAGGCCCCGGGGAAGCGGCUCGGUGCCCUCUCCUCGCCGGCAUGAUGGCGGCCCUCCCCGCCGGGGCGCGGGCUCCAAGUUUCUGGUGCUGUGAAGCUUAUUAGCGGUUCCCGUUGGAUUUCAGUGUGAGAUUGGAGUGCUCGCUUCUUCGCUGUGACUGGGAGAUCAUCAGUAUGACGAUGAAAGCUCUCUAGCCCUUUUUGGAGUUCUUGCCCAGGUCAGAGGGAUCAAAUCCUUGCAGCUUACUUCAGACUAUGAACCAGAUCUGAUCUUCUGCCAUAAGAAAGUGCAAAGAAAGAAGUCUUUGGUUAAAAACGGAGUAAUUCAGCAGAAGACUUCAGACUUCUUGUUUUACAAGUCACAUUGCAUGAAGAAGGAAAUCAAAACUUUUUGCUGCUUUCUCCAAGGAUAAGGAGCCAGAGGAAGCUGGUGCACAAAUGGUGUAACACAUUCUAGCAUUACAGAUGUUUGGACUGCAUACUUUUUAGUAAUACGUGGAAAUAGCUUUUGCUGGGAGUAAAGUGACAGCUCUCUGGCUUCUAUGCCAAAAUUUGAUAUUUUUUCUUCUGGACCUUUUAUUUAAAAAAAAAAAAAAAGUUGUACUGAGAAGAAACAUGAAUUGCUGAAAAGUUGUCUUUCAGAGAAGCCUCCUCACAAGCUGCAUGUGGGUUUGUGUGUCGGUCCAAAGAUGACACAAAAGACAGCAGCAGUGAAGGAGGACAAAUAAAGCAGUGCUGGUAUUGAAAGAAGUUUGUUGAUUCCAGCUCAUCCAUCAGCAGACAGAACAUGUAAUAAAAAGUUCUCAGCCUUUAGCACAAUGAGAAGGUCACGUCUAUCACGGGGGAAUGUCAGCAUUGCCGUUCUGGGACGGGAGGACUGAAAAGGCAAAAGGACCAGAAUUAUUUGGGGCAGACUGCAUUUGACUACUGAUACAAUCUGCUGGGUGGUGGUGGUGGAAGAACGGGACGGUCUUUCCUGCUUGGUCUGUGGUGUCCAGCGUGACCAAGUGGGGUCACCAUGAACGUGACAAGUUUAUUCUCCUUCACCAGCCCAGCGGUGAAGAGGCUGUUGGGAUGGAAGCAGGGGGAUGAAGAAGAAAAAUGGGCAGAGAAAGCUGUUGAUGCAUUAGUGAAAAAACUGAAGAAGAAAAAAGGUGCUAUGGAAGAGCUGGAGAAAGCGUUAAGCUGUCCUGGUCAGCCCAGCAACUGUGUCACAAUUCCUCGUUCCUUGGACGGCAGGCUUCAGGUUUCACACCGGAAAGGGCUGCCACAUGUAAUUUACUGCAGAGUGUGGCGCUGGCCAGACCUGCAGAGCCAUCACGAACUGAAACCACUGGAAUGCUGCGAGUUUCCUUUUGGUUCAAAGCAGAAGGAGGUUUGCAUCAAUCCCUACCACUACAAGCGGGUAGAGAGUCCUGUUCUUCCUCCAGUGCUGGUCCCAAGGCACAGCGAGUACAACCCUCAGCACAGCCUCUUGGCUCAGUUCCGCAACUUAGGACAAAAUGAGCCCCACAUGCCGCACAACGCUACUUUCCCGGACUCAUUUCAGCAACCCAACAGUCACCCGUUCCCCCACUCGCCAAACAGCAGCUAUCCAAACUCGCCUGGAAGCAGCAGCAGCACCUACCCCCAUUCUCCAGCCAGCUCAGACCCAGGAAGCCCUUUCCAGAUGCCAGCUGAUACUCCCCCUCCUGCUUACCUGCCUCCGGAAGAUCAGAUGACACACGAUACCUCCCAGCCAAUGGAUACCAACAUGAUGGCACCUGCAAUCCAUCCUGACAUACACAGAGGAGAUGUUCAGGCAGUCGCUUACGAAGAGCCAAAGCACUGGUGCUCCAUUGUCUAUUACGAGCUGAAUAAUCGCGUUGGGGAGGCAUUCCAUGCUUCUUCCACCAGCAUCCUGGUGGAUGGCUUCACUGAUCCUUCAAACAACAAAAACAGGUUUUGCCUGGGGCUGCUCUCCAAUGUUAACCGCAAUUCCACCAUUGAGAACACGAGGCGACACAUUGGCAAAGGUGUUCAUCUCUACUAUGUUGGUGGAGAAGUGUAUGCCGAAUGCCUCAGUGACAGCAGUAUUUUUGUGCAAAGUCGGAACUGCAACUACCAUCAUGGUUUCCAUCCGACCACAGUGUGCAAAAUACCUAGUGGCUGCAGUUUGAAGAUUUUCAAUAAUCAAGAGUUUGCUCAACUUUUGGCACAGUCAGUGAACCAUGGCUUUGAGACAGUGUAUGAGCUUACUAAGAUGUGCACUCUCCGUAUGAGUUUUGUAAAGGGCUGGGGAGCUGAAUAUCAUCGUCAAGAUGUAACGAGCACUCCAUGCUGGAUAGAGAUACACCUUCAUGGUCCCCUUCAGUGGCUGGAUAAAGUACUUACUCAGAUGGGCUCUCCUCAUAAUCCUAUUUCUUCGGUGUCUUAAAGGUCCCAAGCUCCUGCAUUUUGGAAACAAUUGAGCCUUGCAUGUACUUGAAGGACAUAUGAGUCAGACACACACUUCCCCCUCUGCCCCCCGAACUGGCAACAGCUGAAUAAGAGCCAUGAAAAUACUUGACUUCUGUGACCAACUGUUGGAUUCAGAAAAAAAAACAACACAACAACCCUUUGACAUACUGUUGGUGUCAAGAAUUUUAGUUUACGUUGUAAUAUUCUAUUGCAAAGUUGAUUUGUAGGGCUUAGCAUAAGGGGGACAACCAAGCCCAAACCACAAUCUGUCGGAGCGAGUUCCUGAAGGAUCAUCCUGUAGUUGGCACUCUGAGAUUUUUUUCUUUCUUAUGUCCAUUGCUUACUUUUUUUUUCUGUGUCCUCUGGGGCUAAGAGCCAAUGUUGAAGUCUGCCUUUUGCAGGAUUUCUGCAGUCCAUUCUAAAACCAUUUGUCGAAGCUGAUAGUUGCUGUUCUCUUUAAAAGACAAAAAAGGUUAUGUGGCUUAACCUCAAUAACUGUGUAAUAAUCUUGGAAAUUGUGUCCUGACCAUACUGCUGUAAGAAUGUUGGUAUGUUUUUGCUAAAUGUAUGUACGGUGUAUUUGAAAGUUUAGAAAUUAAUUAGACUUAGACCAUAAAGGAGUUAGGAAUAUUUGAAUGGGGGGAGGUGGGAGUGGGAAGGGAAAUGACAACUGAAAUGUAGAAUAUAUUGUAAACAUAGCUUGUUAGUUUAAACUGAGGUCUGAGUUUUUGCUGUGUGUUUCAUUUUUAUAGUGGCUUUGUCUUGUUAAUUCUGACUAUUUUUGCCUCUUCCUUUUCCCCAAAACAGUUGUGCAGCUGGUUAAUUCUUUUACCUGUGAAGAGGACGAAAUGACUAAUUCCUGCAGUUUGAAGGCUGCAGCUCUGUGUAUUUCAAGACAUAAUUGUACAGCGUGCUCUUUAACUAUUGAGCAGUUUUAUACAGUGUAUGUAACAGAAGUAGGCUUUUAAUUUUGUAAGAGAAUCUUUUUUUGCCAAACAUAGUAAUUGUUAAUUGUUUGGAGGACUUCAAAAGCCCUGUGUGGGUCUAUUUCAAACUUUUUAAAAAUAUAUAUUUUUAAUUUUUAUUUUUUUUACUGCUUGGUUUAUUUUUUUCUUUGAUCUUUUAUAUUCACAUAAGCUGUAGUACUUUAAGUACCUUUAUCCCAAAUCUUAGUGGGUCCUCUUUACUGGAAGUUUUGAAUAAAACCUGUUGUUACUGCUUACAUUUGAUUAAAACUUUGUCUUGUCCACUUCUUAGUAGAUUUUUUUGACAAACCAGAUGCAGAUACAACUUGGAGAAGGAACAACCAGAAGUGAAGAGACACAUUAUCUCUCAUACUGACUUCAGUAAUAAAACGAGCUCUCUAGAAAGACUUCUUAACUAGGCAAGAUUAGAACGGAUGUAGUAACACAGAAGUAUCCUAACCACUUUGUAAGAGAUCUUUGAGAUCUGAUCAUACGAUAUCUGAAUGAGCCAAAUUUCUGUGCUUUUACAGCCUGGUAGGUGUUUCAGUAAAACUGUGGAAGUAAUUUCUAAGUAAGCACUGUUGCAUGCUUACUGAGUUCUGAGAAACACGGUGAGAAAUGUUUCACAUAGGAAACAUUUCCUAGAGGAAGUAGGUACUCAGAUGAGAUCUGGCCUCAUCUGUUUGCAUCUUUAUCUGUAGUUGUAAAAUGUAUGAGUCUCAUCUCCUUUCUUGAAAAAUGUAGAGGUUUCCAUCAAAAGAAAUGCCUCCCUCCAUUACAGUAUUUUUCAUUAGAAUUGUUUGAAUGCCUGUGUUCCACGAGGAAAGUAUUUGGAGAGCACUUUCGCGUACCAGCCUUUACUUAGUCUCUUGGCCGUUUGCCUUAGGCAGGUUUACCUUGUGGAGGAUGUUGCUGCCUCCCAGCUCUUUUGCUGGAGACCUGCUGAAGAUGAAGACUCCUCCUGCUCCCUGCGCUAGUGGCAAGCCUCCCCGCUCCUUUCCCGACACCUCUUUGCUCUGGGGAGAGGUGAGGGAAGGACCGUCCCUUUACACCUGCAGUGUGCCACUUAGUUGGAUGAUGGAGUUUCAGAGUUCGGAAGUUGACUGGAAAUCCAGCCCUUGGCCCUGGCUGUAGUGGGUUGUGGAUUGGUAACAGGAGCAUGAGGGAAAGUCGAGCAACUGAGAUCCACGUGUGUUCAGCCACACCUAUGCCUCUCUUUGUGUUGAGGAGACAUUAAGUGUAAGGAAAAAGUACACCUUCAUGUGAUGGUACAGGACAUCCCAGCUGGACUUUGAUAGAUGAGCAGAGUGGAUUGGAGUAGCACUUGAGACUAAUAGCCAAAAAAUAGGAGAUAUUCCAGAAAUUACCUUGGAAGAAGUAACUGCUAGCUUGAGGCUCUUGUGAAGAUUUUUGGAGUGGCUUGUAGAAAUUUUCUUACUGAUUUGCCCUGUUCUG